rnacentral:miRNA from 1 species
CAUCUAGACUGUGAGCUUCUAGA